CCUACGGGUGGCAGCAGUGGGGAAUAUUGCACAAUGGGGGAAACCCUGAUGCAGCGACGCCGCGUGAGUGAAGAAGUAUUUCGGUAUGUAAAGCUCUAUCAGCAGGGAAGCAAAUGACGGUACCUGAUUAAGAAGCCCCGGCUAACUACGUACCAGCAGCCGCGGUAAAACGUAGGGGGCAAGCGUUAUACGGAUUUACUGGGUGUAAAGGGAGCGUAGACGGCAGCACAAGUCUGGAGUGAAAUGCCGGGGCUUAACCCCGGAACCGCCUUGGAAACUGUGCAGCUAGAGUGCAGGAGAGGUAAGCGGAAUUCCUAGUGUAGCGGUGAAAUGCGUAGAUAUUACGAGGAACACCAGUUGCGAAGGCGGCUUACCGGCCUGUAACUGACGCUGAGGCUCGAAAGCGUGGGGAGCAAACAGGAUUAGAUACCCCGGUAGUC
rnacentral:rRNA from 1 species